AAGUCGUAACAAGGUUUCCGUAGGUGAACCUGCGGAAGGAUCAUUAUGAAUCAGUAGCUUGCUACUGUGUUGGGGAGAAUGGGAAAGUCCUGGCUGAAAAGCUAAUGUACCGGUACCUGCACCCCUAUCAUACCCUUGUCUUUUGAGUACUUAUGUUUCCUUGGUAGGCUUGCCUACCAAAAGGACAAACUUGAAACCUUUUUAAGUAUCAAUCAGCGUCUGAAAAUAAAUUAAUAUUUACAACUUUCAACAACGGAUCUCUUGGUUCUG
rnacentral:misc_RNA from 1 species